AGCUCGUGUCGUGAGAUGUUGGGUUAAGUCCCGCAACGAGCGCAACCCUUGUCAUUAGUUGCUACGAAAGGGCACUCUAAUGAGACUGCCGGUGACUAAACCGGAGGAAGGUGGGGAUGACGUCAAGUCCUCAUGGCCCUUAUGGGUAGGGCUUCACACGUCAUACAAUGGUCGGUACAGAGGGUUGCCAAGCCGCGAGGUGGAGCCAAUCCCUUAAAGCCGAUCGUAGUCCGGAUCGUAGUCUGCAACUCGACUACGUGAAGUCGGAAUCGCUAGUAAUCGCAGAUCAGCAUGCUGCGGUGAAUACGUUCCCGGGUCUU
rnacentral:rRNA from 1 species